rnacentral:misc_RNA from 1 species
UCUCCGUAGGUGAACCUGCGGAAGGAUCAUUCAUAAUAAAGUGUUUUAUGGCACUUUUUAAAAAUCCAUAUCCACCUUGUGUGCAAUGUUAGAUCUCGUCAAUCUUGGCGAGAUUUUUAUACAUCAACUCAUUUUUUAACUAAUUUGUCUGAAAAAUAUUAUGAAUACUUAAUUCAAAAUACAACUUUCAACAACGGAUCUCUUGGCUCUC